rnacentral:rRNA from 1 species
UACAGAGGGGGCAAGCGUUAUUCGGAAUUAUUGGGCGUAAAGGGCGCGUAGGCGGCCAUUCAAGUGACGGGUGAAAGCCCUCGGCUUAACCGAGGAACUGCCUGUCAGACUGGAUGGCUUGAGACCGGGAGAGGUGAGUGGAAUUCCCAGUGUAGCGGUGAAAUGCGUAGAUAUCCGGAGGAACACCGGUGGCGAAGGCGGCUUCCUGGACCGACACUGACGCUGAGGCGCGAAAGCUAGGGAGCAACGGG